UUAGUAGCCAGCUCAAGCAAAUACACUGUGUGGUUUCAACUGAACAGUAGGGCUUAAUGACAAAAAUAAGAGAAGCAAAUGUUUUUCUUUUUGCUGUAAUUUCCAGGAAGCUUACUUACACAUGAACUUACAAGGGCAUCCUACAAAAUACCUGACCAGCACUCCUCAAAAUUAUCAGGUCAACAAAAAAGAGGAAAGUCUGAGAAACUAUCACAGCCAAAGGAGGCCUAAAGAGACAUGACAGACAACCAAUG